CCUACCUUUGCUGAGGCCCCUCUGCACAGCUUGUUGGCUUCCUCUCAGACCAGCAAGUGGGGGAGGCUCAGACCCCUGGAGGGGAGACAGAUUGUGCCUCUCCUGAUGCCCUGGACCCCCGUCCUAUUGCUGGGGUCUCUGGAGUCCUGACCUUGACUUCUGGUCUGUGUCCCCACAUGCCCACCUCAGGGUGCCUCCUUCUGUGAAGGUGCUGGGUCAGGCCAGGCCCUCAGGUACCUGCAUGGCCCCAUAGGCCGCUGCUGCCCCCCUGCGGCUGUGGAGAGGAGGCUGCCCGUCCUGGCCUGGCUGCCCGACUACUCCGUGCAGUGGCUGAAGAUGGACUUCAUCCCUGGGCUCUCAGUCAGACUCAUGGUCAUUCCCCAGGCGCUGGCCCGUGCUGAGGUGGCCUGACUCCUGCCCCAGGGUUCCUGCUGGACUUCAUCUCCUGCCCUGUCAGUCAUUAAAGGUUUCACCUCUGCUGCUACCGUCACCAUCAGCUUCGGGCAGAUCCAGUUUAUCCUGACGGCAUCUGUCGCUUCUGGAGCCCACUCCAACCACAAGGAGGACAGUCACUCCAAUGCCUGUGAAAAGGAAUCUUCACGAGUGUUUAGGUAAACGGAAUCUGGUUCAUGAAGAGCAGACCCAGUGUUGUCCAUCCCAGAGGGACCAGGGACAGCUGCUUCAGGUCAGAGGGCUGAGGGCGGCACGUUUCCUCCAGGAGGAAGCAUCCGCCAGUGACAUACUUUGUCAGCUAAGAGCAAGGGAGGAGUCCCUCCUUCUGAAUAUCACCACGUUGCAUUUUUAGGUGCAUUUUAAAGGGAUGCAAAUGUACUGCAUACAAUUGUUUUUAUAUUAAACAUGCGGAGAUUUUGGAAAGGAUUAUUCCCCCACACAGUAAGUAUAAGUAUAUUCUUGUUAACAAAAUGGAUUCUGAUUCAGUGGGUCUGGAGUGGAGGCUGAGACUCUGCAUUGUUAAUAUGUUCCUUGUCCCUCCAAAAAUUCACAGACAUGUUUUAAUGUUGACAAGCCCAUAGGGACAGUGAGAAAUGAGAAGAGGAGUCCUCGGCAGACGAGAACCUAAGAGAAUCUCUGACAGAGAACUGAGUUUUGGUUAAAUGAAAAGCACACUCUGCGCACAGAGAAGAUCAGAGGACAGAUGCAAAGACGGGAGGGGCUCCUCUUUAUUUCAAGAGCAACAAAUGCCUCCCCACAGCCUGCACCCGGAGCUCUUGCCCCAUCUCCUCAGGCUCCUCCUCUGGUCCUUUCUGAAGUGCACAGGUCCUCCCCUCCCCCCUCCCCCUCUCUGAUCCAGGACUUCGCUUCCCAGCCCCUGCUCUCUCCCUUUUUUUCUGCAGCCCUUCUGCCCUGUGACUCCUCAGUUCACUGCCAAGGUCUUUGUCAGAAAGCUCAGGGACGUGUUUCCAGAUCUUCCUUGGAAUCGAACACUCCCAUCCAGUCCUCUGUCCUGAGCCUCUCUGAUCCCUUACUUCCUGAAAAGCCUCAUGUCCACAGAUUCUCAUGUUUUAUCCCAACUGAUACCUUCUCCUUCUCGUUCCCUGGUUUCACCUCGUUUUCAAGGAAUCCGGUGAAUCACUCCAGCGUGCUGAUUCAUCCUCCCAGACACCCAGCACUCUGUCCUAUGUGCCCAUCCAGUGAGGAGUCAGGUAGGAAGAGAACACACGGCUUCCUGAGCAGCUUAGGAAGUGAGUUCACGGCUGAACUGUGUCUGCUCUCAGCUCUUGGACAUUUUAUUUUAUGUGCAGCUGGUAUGAGACAUCUGUGGGGGCUCUCCCCUAGGAAACCAGACUCCUGUCCCCCGGUCCCUGCUCAGUGCUCUCUGGGUCCAGCAGCUGGGUCCUCUCUGGGUCCUCAGCAGCCUCAGGCCAGGGCCAGCCCCAGCCCACUCCUCUCAGAAAUGACACCCAGUCAUUGAAAGGACACAGGGCCCAGGGAGGGCUUUGGUGGGCCAGAGGAGCAGAGCAAAUUUGCAUGAAGGGCCCCUUUCUCUGGGGAUUGAUGGGGAGGAGAGAGACCUGAAGCAUGUCCAUCUCAGCUGAGCUCUGGGGUGUCCACGGCCUGGACACCACUCUUCCUUCUCCCCCUCCCCCUGCACUGCACAGGUCAGGAUGGCCCUCAGCAUCCUGACUCCCCCGCUCACUGCAACUACCCACAGGCUGGAAAUGUCCUUCCCUCUUGUUCUUCCUCCAGGACAUGAUGGGAGUCUGUGUUUUCACAGUCCCUCUCACAGACUGUGCUGAUGCAGCCUCCCACUGCAUCCGCCUCCCUGGGAGCCUUGGCCAAGCUCACCUGCUCCCUGAGCAGUGGCUCCAGUAACUGCAAAGUGGACUGGUACCAGCAAGGCCCAGGGAAGGGGCCAGGGUUCCUGCUAUGAAUAGUCACCGGUGGUAUUGUGGGAUCCAAAGGGGAUGGGAUCCCUGGUCGCUUCUCAGGCUCAGGCCUGGAUCAGUACCUGCCCAUCCAGAACAUCCAGGUACUUCUUGAAAAUGAGAAUUUGUACUGGGAAGUGUGGUUUUUGCUACUCACCUGAGAGGUUUAUGUUCCUGGAUGGAGACCCAUUGACAGGUGCACUCACAGCAGAAAUACCAUCCGCAGCUCCCCUGUUUCCUUGAUCCUCAUUUGACGUUUGUGAGCUGCUCACGCAAAACAUAACAUUGACUGUUUCGCUGGAGAUACAGGACCUUGACCCAACCCUCAGGGUCACAGGUGCAUGCGAUUCACCUGGACUUCACCCAGCUCCAUCACCUUCAUGUGCACAGAGGACUCAGGGUGAAGGUGCCUCUCUGUGUGUGAAAUAAAUAAAGAACAUUUUCACACACAGAAAGAUGGGAGUUGCUGGGCUUGCUCUGCUCCUGAGGCCUUGAACGAGGCCUCGUCUGCCUUCCGCACAGUGCUGUGUUUCAUGUGCAAGAGAGAACGCUCUGGCAGAAUUGCUCCCUCUGGUCGGGAUAUGUGGGGACAUGUGGGACAGGGGAUGACCCUCUGCUCUGAAUGACUGUCAUGGCCCCAAGUCUGGGAAACCCCACCAGGAUGAAUGAAGAUGGUGAGGAUGACAGGGAGAGGCCCUGUGGGGCUUGUCAUUGGUCCAGUUCAGGCUCCACUGUCUGCAGGAUGAGACCCUGGGUGUGUCACUGACCACUCAGAAGAGGCCAGCAUGUUACAGUAAAUUCAAAACAUCUGCAGGACGUACUAUGUGAGCCUGGUCCUGAAGGAGGAGGGCAAGAAGAAGGACAAGAGGACCAGAAGGGACCACUAUGAUCCAAGUAUCCUCCUUGAAAAGGAGACCUGCUACGGGUUUUGCACAGGCUGCUGGAGAGAGAGGGGAGGCAGGAGGCUGGGGAAGAAGUGAUGGCCGCACAUAGAGCGAAAGGGUGAAGAUAAAUAUUCUGACUUCAUCUUGAUGGAGAGAAUCUCUGAGAGACUCUCAGCACAGAGCCCAGAACACAACCUUACACAAAGGACAGAUUCCACACCAGUAUGUUGAGUGAAUAUGUCAACUCACCUAAACUGGAAGCCCAGGAAGAAGAGUAAAUGUGAGGCGAAGAUAGCGACAUCUGCUCUGGGGACAUUUAGUGUUUGGAGUUCCGAGUUGACUAAUGAGGAGAUUUUAAAUAAGAACUGGACCUCAGUAUGGAGAACAGGAGACAGACCUUAACUUCAGCCUUGGUGGGUGAGCAGCACAAUGGGCUGGGUUCUGUGUGCUCCUGCAGAGACAGUGGGAAAGGACAUGAUUAGCCAGCAGGUGCUGAAUAAAGAAGCCACAGGAGCAGGUAGGUCACGGAGCAGAUUCUGAGCUCCGAAGACAAGCUCCAUGAGCAAAGGACCUGCAGAGGACAGAUUAGAUGUACGAACAUCUGCUGAUGUUUCACUUAAGUACCUAUAAGAGAGCCAUUUGCCGGAAAAUGUUAAAUAAAAUCUCAAAAUCCACUCUAUGAUCAAUGAAGUAUUAAUAUUAAACUCUUCAGUGAAAUCUCUCUCUAAAGAACCUUAGUGGCAAACCUCACGAAGGAAGAAAGUUGGGAUUUCUGGGCCGUGUGUCCACAGGACAGGUGGGUCUGCGCUUGGGGAAGUGGAUGACCGAGGCCUGUUAGUGAGUGUC
rnacentral:lncRNA from 1 species